UCACAAUUUCUAGCGUUUGACGUAGUCAUUAGCGUGAAAUUGCGUUUCUGCAGUAACACAGUUAUGUUAUGCAGGUGAAGUGUUGUACACAGGUGAAGACUAAUGAGGGAGUGGCAUCCAGGUGUGCGAGUGCAGACAAUGGAUAAGAGGAAGUGACAAGCUGAGAUAGUCAUUCGAGGUCGCCACUGCUACAGCUACUGCCGUGUCUUCUUUUUGUCGGCAAGUGGCUGUAUCAGACGCGUUCAGGAUGGCAGAAUAGGAGAACUUGGAGUUCACCCAGACCCUGGAGGAGAAUCUGACGGAAGCUAAGAAGCUGCUGGUCGCAGGAAUAGUGAAUAAAGCGGCGGACGAGUUACAUAAAGAUGUGCUGAAAGAAGGAUUUUGGAAAGAAUUGUAGAAUGUAGAACAUCCGCACUUGAAGUCGCUGGCAGACAAAGUGACGUCUGUGCCUCUGUGGUGAUGUCAGAUAGAGCACCUGGAACUGUUGACCAACUUAGUCUUGCAUUUAGUAGGUGGAGAACUUUUGCAAAGAAAUUUUCAGAAGUACUUGUGUUUCCACACUCUUUGUAUGUUGCAUUGUACUUGUUGGAGGUGAUGCAAGAAACUUCAUACCUAGCAGCAGUAGAAAAGGCUUUCUACGGAAUUCGAUGGGCGCAUGUACAAGCAGGCUUAGAAUCCUUCACUGACAUUUAAGUUGUUUGAAAUGUUUUAGGAGCAGCCAAACGUUUAUACUAGGAAAGAAGGUGAAGAAAGAAGUAAUCACAGCAGAACUCCUGAAUAAGUUGAUGACCUUGCAUGGAGACAAGGAAGACUUGAAUACAAUUCGCAUAUUAACUUUGAUAUUGAUCUGUUAUGCAUGGUUUUUCAGAUAUAGCGAGACAUCCAAGAUUGUCAAGAUAUUACGCACCUUUUCAGAUAUUAUGUAACAACUUUUUAGUCUAGCAAGACUGAACAAUGGAGAUAGGACAACAAGAUUAAACAAAGCAACGUGUCCUGUUCCUGAGAACAUUUAGUACUGCAGACUAUACUAGGUGAAGUUGACGUGAUUUAUGAUUUUUAUAAUUUCAGAGGUCUCUGUAAAUGCAAGAAUGGCUGGAACAUAAGGACAUCUGGAGGGUUAAGUCACACUAGAGCCAGGGAGGGUAGAUUUGUGGAAGACUGUGGUACAGGACGUUUCAUGUUUUGGUUUACGUUCCCUCAGAGCAGGAGGGGCGACGGAAGCUGCGAAUGCUGGAAUUCCUGAUCGACUCUUCAAACGACAUGGUAGAUGGGAAAUUUGAAAGAUCUACUACAUGAAAGGCUAGCAGUUUUGAUGGCUUUAGGUAUUUAAAUGUGCGUGAAAUAAACUUCCCUGUCUUUGUACUUUCGAAAAUAUGCGGCGCCUGAACCAGGCGGCGCUCUCCCCCCAGACAAGUGUCAUGUGUUGUUAUUGUGUGCGCAUAUUGGGGAGGGGGGUAACUAGUGUGAUGCAGAAAAUCACAAUUUCUAGCGUUUGACGUAGUCAUUAGCGUGAAAUUGCGUUUCUGCAGUAACACAGUUAUGUUAUGCAGGUGAAGUGUUGUACACAGGUGAAGACUAAUGAGGGAGUGGCAUCCAGGUGUGCGAGUGCAGACAAUGGAUAAGAGGAAGUGACAAGCUGAGAUAGUCAUUCGAGGUCGCCACUGCUACAGCUACUGCCGUGUCUUCUUUUUUUGCAAAUGUGAUUUAGCAAGAAAACCCAGAGAAGGAAGUUGUUUUGCAAUGGGCUCUGGUGUACGUCCCCUAUUUUUUUGGCCUUCAAACACAAUGGAAGGUUUUUUUUAGGGGUUGCGUAGCCGGCAAACAACAUAGUCAGAAAAUGUUGUUCAAUGUAUUGUUGUAUCAGACGAUGUUCUAGUUGUAAUAUUAAGUAAGUUUAUUAUGCCAUGCACAAAUGUCAAAGUUAAACUGUGUUUGUAUAAUUGGUCGUUAAUUUCGGCAAUGUUUGAUGUUGUUCUGUUUGGUGAAAUUGUGAAGUGCAAAAUAUGCACGAAGUAUUUGGACAGAAGAGUUUUUCAUUGAUUUUGGUCUGCUCUUUCGGCAAAGUUUCUCAUUAAACUUUUUCUGGCGUACCUGAACCAGGCGGCGCUCUCCCCC